GGAGUACAGCAGCCACUUGGGGGCGCUGUUCAAGCUACGGAAAGAUGACGAGGUGUACGUGAAAGUUUCGGAUUUGUCGCUCAUGGUUCGUGACGUCAGGAAGAACUACUUCGGGAUCUUUAGACUGUCAAAUAUCACACAGAAAGAGUGAGGGAUAUGAUUUCCAUAUUGGAUAAUCCUUUGUCAUUGAUUCAUCAAACCGUCACUUUUUUAAUUAAACGUUAAGUGAGUGUCUUUGUAAAAGUUAGAAAAGCUGAGACAAAAUUCCAUUUCAUCAAUUAAACAGAUUAUUGUUUAAGGAAUAAGUUCAUUACAUUAUAAGAAAAAAUAAAAGAAUGCUUUAAUAUGUGUAUAUGUAAUUUCAUUUGUAGCAAAUAUUAGUGGGAGAUGGUUUAAUAUGAGUGCAGUUUAAAAACAUGUACAAGAGAGAGAGAGAGAGAGAGAGAGAGAGAGAGAGAGAGAGAGAGAGAGAGAGAGAGAGAGAGAGAGAGAGAGAGAGAUGAUAGUGUUUCAUAUUCUACUAAGAUUUUGGGGAUAUUUUGAUUGCUAUUUGAAUUUAAAAGAGAGAUCUAGAGUUGCUUACAUGUACCAUGAACAGCUAUAGACAGUGUGUAUUUGUGUACAAUAUUCAGAGAGAAUUUGCUUUGAAACUCAUUUUCUUUUUGCUACCAAUAUGUUCUCGGUGAUUAUGAGUCAGUUGUGUAAUCAUAAGUGAUCAUGAUUAUGAUUGAUUAAGAUCAUGAUUAUGAUCACGGUUAUGAUCAUUAAUCACUACAAUAUGUUAUCUGGUCUUUGGUUCUUAACUGCCAAUUUAUUGUGUAUUUGCUAACUUGCAACUAAUGAUAGAAUAUAUUAAUCAGUUGUAUGAUUAUUAUUUUUUCCAUAUAUUUCUUUACUUUUACUGGAAACUAACCAACAGAAAUUAAGGUAUAUUGAUAAGUAAUUGGGUUUUUGUUCCUUAAUUUGGAUUGAUUUUAUAUGGUAAGGUACACGUAAUUAUCCUUUCUAUGCUACUGACGUGUUAUUCCGUAGAUACUUUGUUUAUUUUAGUAGAAUUUUCUUGGGUUUUUUCUGUUUCGUUCCUGACUUGAAAAGUCAGUUUUUUCUGUUUGACUUUUUGCUUUUUCUUUUAUAGGAUAUAUAUGUAUACCUGUAUUUUUGUAAUGAAACUGACAGUGUCAUACAAAUAAAACCAAUUAAG
rnacentral:misc_RNA from 1 species